GAAGACAUUAUUGGACUGUUUUAUUGUUGAAUAUUUUUUUAAAAUCCACUAGUCUUUCAUAAUCUUUUAUCUCUGUCAUUUAUCAGCCUCUAGGCAGCAAGCCCAGCAGAAGCUUCGGGGUGGAAAGUGCAUGAAUGGAGGUCUUGGAACCACGUUUAGCAUGGACUCGAGUGUAAAUCCCAGCGCCCGCCUCUCCCAGUCAUUCAGCCUCUCAACCCCUCAGAAACAGAGGCUGUUUCAAGAAUUCUAUAUGCAUUAUAUUUAUUCAGCGACUGGCAAUCUGGUGUCCCACCUAGUGGUCAGCAGGGGAUAGCCCAUUUCAAAAAGAGAUGAGAAGACAAUUCACAUUAUCUUCUGCUGGGUGGAAGCCUGAAGGACAGUUUGUGCUCAUCCUUUUCUCCCCAUUUACAGGGACUCAGGACAUGUAAAGCACAAGACAUGAGGAAUGGCAGUAUGUUUGCAUAUGCUGUUGCAGUGGUGGGAUAGAGAUUGAGAAGAGAAGUUCUGCUUGAGAGAGAGUCAUCAGAUUAGGAGGCAUAUGG
rnacentral:lncRNA from 1 species